rnacentral:rRNA from 1 species
AGCGAACGCUGGCGGCAGGCUUAACACAUGCAAGUCGAGCGGGUGUAGCAAUACAUCAGCGGCAGACGGGUGAGUAACGCGUGGGAACGUGCCUUUCGGUUCGGAAUAACCCAGUGAAACUUGGGCUAAUACUGGAUACGCCCUUCGGGGGAAAGAUUCAUCGCCGAAAGAUCGGCCCGCGUCGGAUUAGCUAGUUGGUAGGGUAAUGGCCUACCAAGGCGACGAUCCGUAGCUGGUCUGAGAGGAUGACCAGCCACACUGGGACUGAGACACGGCCCAGACUCCUACGGGAGGCAGCAGUGGGGAAUAUUGGACAAUGGGCGAAAGCCUGAUCCAGCCAUGCCGCGUGGGUGAAGAAGGCCCUAGGGUUGUAAACCCCUUUCAGCGGGGAAGAUAAUGACGGUACCCGCAGAAGAAGCCCCGGCUAACUCCGUGCCAGCAGCCGCCGUAAUAC